UUAACAUUUCAAUAUUCGUUUUGCGUAUUUCACCAAUAGCUUCGGAACCAGACGGACCUCAUUUUACUGUUCAAAGAUAUGGUCAGGCUCCCCUGUUAUAUCAAGUUUUCAGCCCGGUACGAAAUAGACCGACCAAUCACAACCCUUUAUCUAAUGUGAGGUUGGAUAAAUACGUAACAUGUAGAGGUGUUUCAACAACAAAGAUGGAAGUUGGUGAAUUUACGACUGUAUAUGUUCACUAAAAGAAUGAACGACUACUCUUAAAGAUUUGGAGGAAUAUGUAUUUCUGCAUCACCCGUUCCGUUGCUAUGAUUAGUCGAGGCCUAUCCAAUAGCAUAGCAUUGCAUCGACCCAUUUUAGUUCGCGCCCGUUAGACACGCCCCUUGGAAAUUGAACAUGAACGCACUUCAACGCAGAGGAUCCAGAAGGAUUUCACGUUUUCAAGUCCAUUGGAAGAUAUCGAGGAACAUCCCCAAUGAAGGAGAGUAACGUUUUCACUUGUUAUAGGAAUUUAGUGAAGCACUAAAUAGUUAAUAAUAAUAAUAAAAUAUGGUCACCAUUUAUUGACUUGUUGGGUAAGACUUGCUUUUCUAACCUAAUCGCGUUAAAACUAUUUUACAUUUCUUUCAUUAAAUGUUGUAUAGAAAUAAAAAUGUAAUUAAUAGAACUGGAUACACAUUUGUACAAUUAAUCAUUAUACAGGAUUUGAACAUUUUCUAUUCGAGCUCAUGCUUCAUAAUAUUUCCAAGGUUUGCAGAGUCUUAAAUGAUUUAUGAACAGUGGUUUGUUUAUGUUCAGGAGAGGAUUGUACUCAGAGGCUUCAACAGAGCGGGUCUGGAGCUGGGAGCUGCAGGUGGAUGGUGCCCAGGAGCCGUUCAGUCCUACAGGAACAGACGGAAGAGGUGAUGGAGGUGCUCGUCUGGAGGUCCGUGGCGGUCGUCUGGAGGUGCUCGCCGUGAGGUCCGUGGCGGUCGUCUGGAGGUGCUCGUCUGGAGGUCCGUGGCGGUCGUCUGGAGGCGCUCGUCUGGAGGUCCGUGGCGGUCGUCUGGAGGCGCUCGCUGCAGGCGGAGGGAAGGCCGGGAGCCGUGCAGCCCAAGGGAGGCAGAACGGUGAGACACGGAGCUGCACAGCUGCACAUUUCUUCCAGGCUUGGUGAAUUGUUUAUAAUUAAACCUUUGACAUGCAGCCACAGCAACUCUGAAGUGUUCUGAAAAAUGUCAGAUGCAUUCUCGGCCACUAGGACCAGCUCCAGGAUGUAGGCUAGGUGUGUGUGGCUGGCUGUUGGGUUAAAUAAUGCCUCACUCAAGGCUGCACAGGAUGGCAUCUGUGGGAGCUAAAGCAGAGGAGGAGUCGAUUAUCUGCAUCAUGAACGGGGAGAAAUGUGCAGUGUGCAAAUGGAACGCGUCAUUCGCCUUUCAGAAGGACUGAGGCGGAGGUCCUGGAGGCGGAGGUCCUGGAGGCGGAGGUCCUGGAGGCGGAGGUCCUGAAGGCGGAGGUCCUGGAGGCGGAGGUCCUGGAGGCGGUGGCCUGGAGGUCCUGGAGGCGUCCAACCUGGAAGGGGCGGCAUGGAGAGCCAGGUGGCGGCUCUUCAUCCAGUAAAGUUAC
ensembl:lncRNA